rnacentral:misc_RNA from 1 species
UACGUAGGGUGCAAGCGUUGUCCGGAAUUAUUGGGCGUAAAGAGCUCGUAGGCGGCUUGUCACGUCGGCUGUGAAAACCCGAGGCUCAACCUCGGGCCUGCAGUCGAUACGGGCAGGCUAGAGUUCGUUAGGGGAGACUGGAAUUCCUGGUGUAGCGGUGAAUGCGCAGAUAUCAGGAGGAACACCGAUGGCGAAGGCAGGUCUCUGGGCCGAAACUGACGCUGAGGUGCGAAAGCGUGGGGAGCGAACAGG